rnacentral:rRNA from 1 species
UUACUGGGCGUAAAGCGGGCGCAGACGGUUACUUAAGCAGGAUGUGAAAUCCCCGGGCUCAACCUGGGAACUGCGUUCUGAACUGGGUGACUAGAGUGUGUCAGAGGGAGGUAGAAUUCCACGUGUAGCAGUGAAAUGCGUAGAGAUGUGGAGGAAUACCGAUGGCGAAGGCAGCCUCCUGGGAUAACACUGACGUUCAUGCCCGAAAGCGUGGGUAGCAAACAGGAUUAGAUACCCUGGUAGUCCACGCCGUAAACGAUGAGUGCUAGGUGUUAGACCCUUUCCGGGGUUUAGUGCCGCAGCUAACGCAUUAAGCACUCCGCCUGGGGAGUACGACCGCAAGGUUGAAACUCAAAGGAAUUGACGGGGGCCCGCACAAGCGGUGGAGCAUGUGGUUUAAUUCGAAGCAACGCGAAGAACCUUACCAGGUCUUGACAUCCCUCUGACCGCUCUAGAGAUAGAGUUUUCCUUCGGGACAGAGGUGACAGGUGGUGCAUGGUUGUCGUCAGCUCGUGUCGUGAGAAG